GUCAGGUGGUCCCACACUUCCGGUGUCCAGGAAGGCGGCUUCCGGAGGACUGCUGGCUCCCGGUUGGCGACAGCCGGGCGCUCCUGGCUUUUGACCUUUCCCAGCCUCUCGCUGUCAUCCCGUUUGCUUCUGGAGCUCAAGCAAGGCAGAGAAAGCGCUCGUGCAACACUCGGGGGACCUCACUGCCUGCUCCGUGCCUCCGAGACUCCACCUGCACCAUCUUUUGCCUUCCCUCUCUCUCUCUUUUACCAGAAACUAAAUCAGGGGGAAUGAUCAUAUAUUGAUGAAACUGUCCACGAGAAUCAUGAAGGCUGUGCAAAAAUUCUACUUGGCUAAAACAGUGACUGAAACAACCAUUGGCAUUAACAGCCUGGGCACUAAAUCCUCUGCCCCUCCAUCUGUAAACGUGACAAGCUAGAAGGACAACCUCCUCUCAGUGUGAUUCAUUCCAAAGAAAAGCCCUCACCUAAGGAGAGGCUUACUGCAGCCCUAUUGUUCUACAGAUUGGAUGGUGUGAAACUGCUGAUCUUCAACUCAUUUUGAUCUUGAAACCUCACAACUCUAUGUGGUUCAAACAAAGAUAUCUGAAGACACAGAUUUGGGAGCUGAAGAAACACUACUUCCUAUGGAUUACCUGGGAUGGUGCAAAACCAGACAUGUGAAAAGCUGAAAACACAAGUGGCACCUCCACCUUCAGGAGCAUUUCAAUGUAGUAGUUCUGAUGAGUCAUUCCAUUCCUGACACUAGUUCCAAGUUGUUAUGGAAAUUAAAUAGAAAGACCCUAUGAAAAAGAUAAACUCUCCAAACCAAUUUAAGUGGACCCAAUCUAGUGCAGUCCAGUCCUCCACUCUGGGGAUCUGUCAGCAGAGAAUGGACCAUGUUUUAUUGGUAAUGUUGCAGUUAAUUUGUGCAUCACGUGCAUCAUGCAGGAGGAUAUGAAGAGAAGAUUUUAUGGGAGCUUGCUGCUGUUUCAGGAAUCUCUCACAGUGCUUUAAAACCAAGCUAGCAAAGUAGAAGCACAGUAGAAGAAAUGAAAGCUAUUCCGCCUGGCACUUGGCUAAUGGUGUGGAAAGAAAUUAAUUUUCGGAAGAGUAAAGAAUUUCUCCACUGGAAUACAUUUCCAUGGUUAGAGAAGCAGUUACUGCUUGGCUGUUUACGGAUUCUUCUGAAGCUCUGGCGACCACUAUGAUUUACAGACAGUGCAAAGUUGGAAAAGAAAGUAAAAAAAACUGUUUUAAACUCAUUCCUUAAUAUCACUGAGGAAAAUGUGGGCAAAAAAGGGAAACAUCAAGUUUCAUGUUCACCAAUCACAGACAUGAAAAUAAUACCAGUUUUUGAAUGUGUAUUCAAUGAAUGUCAGCCAAAUUGAGGCAAUGACAAGUAUAACAGAAAAAAAAUCAAGAUAUUACCAUAACUUCAUUUCGUAAUAAUCAGAAUUUAUGAAUAUGAACUGACAUAAUUAAGAGAAUGAAGUAAAGAUAAAGAGUAACUCUACAAGGGACAUGAAAUCAAACAUUUUGUUUAAUAAGUCAUCUUACACAUGCAGCCUGAAUUUGAAGGUGAUAAAACUUCAUGGAACCAUCAAUAAAAUCAGAUCUUUAAGAAAAAGCUCAAUUAAACAAAAACUUAGAAAGUAGUACUGUUCAAGCCCUC